rnacentral:rRNA from 1 species
UAUCAGAACGAAAGUUAGAGGUUCGAAGGCGAUUAGAUACCGCCCUAGUUCUAACCAUAAACGAUGCCAGCUAGCGAUCUGAGGACGUUUUUUUUGUAGACUCCUCAGGAAGCUUCCGGGAAACCAAAGCGUGUGGGUUCCGGGGGAAGUAUGGUUGCAAAGCUGAGACUUAAAGGAAUUGACGGAAGGGCACCACCAGGAGUGGAGCCUGCGGCUUAAUUUGACUCAACACGGGAAAUCUCACCAGGCCCGGACACUGGAAGGAUUGACAGAUUGAGGGCUCUUUCUCGAUUCGGUGGGUGGUGGUGCAUGGCCGUUCUUAGUUGGUGGAGUGAUUUGUCUGGUUAAUUCCGAUAACGAACGAGACUCUGUCCUGCUAAAUAGUGUCAGCCUCUCUUUUGGGCUGACAAUUCUUCUUAGAGGGACUGGCGGCUCCUAGCCGCACGAGAUAGAGCAAUAACAGGUCUGUGAUGCCCUUAGAUGUUCUGGGCCGCACGCGCGCUACACUGAAUAGAUCAGCGUGUUCUCCCUUUCUGAGAAGAACGGGUAAACCGCUGAACCCUAUUCGUGGUAGGGAUCGGGGCUUGCAAUUAUUCCCCGUGAACCAGGAAUUCCCAGUAGGCGCGAGUCAUAAGCUCGCGUCGAUUACGUCCCUGCCCUUUGUACACACCGCCCGUCGCUACUACCGAUUGAAUGGGUA